GAAGUGACGGCCUGGGUCACGGAGCUUGCGUUCAGGUUAGCAGACUGAAGGAGCCUAGCUGUGCUAGGAGUCAAGGGGCUCCAGGAACCAGGAGGCGAAGUUGGAGGUCUGAGUCUGUGUCCUGACAUCACAGGAGUGCCAGGAGUCAAGGGGACUGACCACUGACGAGGAGCUCCCCUGUAACACGCUAGAGCAGCCCUCAAGGAAGACCGGUCAGGGGUCUCCAUUUUCCCCCUGCCACACCCCUAGUGGGC